GUGUCAGCAGCCGCGGUAAUACGGAGGAUCCAAGCGUUGUCCGGAUUUAUUGGGUUUAAAGGGUGCGUAGGCGGAUUAUUAAGUCAGUGGUGAAAGCCGGCAGCUCAACUGUCGAACUGCCAUUGAAACUGAUAGUCUAGAAUAUAGUAGAGGUAGGCGGAAUGUAUCAUGUAGCGGUGAAAUGCUUAGAUAUGAUACAGAACACCAAUUGCGAAAGCAGCUUACUAUGCUAUUAUUGACGCUGAGGCACGAAAGCGUGGGGAUCAAACAGGAUUAGAUACCCUGGUAGUCCACGCUGUAAACGUUGAAUACUCGAUGUUGGCGAUACACUGUCAGCGUCCAAGAGAAAUCGUUAAGUAUUCCACCUGGGGAGUACGCUCGCAAGAGUGAAACUCAAAGGAAUUGACGG
rnacentral:rRNA from 1 species